rnacentral:rRNA from 1 species
GACGGACGCUGGCGGCGUGCUUAACACAUGCAAGUCGAACGGAAAGACCCUGCUUUUGUGGGGUGCUCGAGUGGCGAACGGGUGAGUAACACGUGAGUAACCUGCCCUUGACUUUGGGAUAACUUCAGGAAACUGGGGCUAAUACCGGAUAGGAGCUCCUGCUGCAUGGUGGGGGUUGGAAAGUUUCGGCGGUUGGGGAUGGACUCGCGGCUUAUCAGCUUGUUGGUGGGGUAGUGGCUUACCAAGGCUUUGACGGGUAGCCGGCCUGAGAGGGUGACCGGCCACAUUGGGACUGAGAUACGGCCCAGACUCCUACGGGAGGCAGCAGUGGGGAAUAUUGCACAAUGGGCGGAAGCCUGAUGCAGCAACGCCGCGUGCGGGAUGACGGCCUUCGGGUUGUAAACCGCUUUCGCCUGUGACGAAGCGUGAGUGACGGUAAUGGGUAAAGAAGCACCGGCUAACUACGUG